rnacentral:rRNA from 1 species
UACGUAGGGCGCAAGCGUUGUCCGGAAUUAUUGGGCGUAAAGAGCUCGUAGGCGGUCUGUCGCGUCGGAUGUGAAAGCCCGGGGCUUAACCCCGGGUCUGCAUUCGAUACGGGCAGACUAGAGUGUGGUAGGGGAAAUCGGAAUUCCUGGUGUAGCGGUGAAAUGCGCAGAUAUCAGGAGGAACACCGGUGGCGAAGGCGGAUCUCUGGGCCAUUACUGACGCUGAGGAGCGAAAGCGUGGGGAGCGAACAGG